rnacentral:rRNA from 1 species
UACGUAGGGUGCGAGCGUUGUCCGGAAUUAUUGGGCGUAAAGAGCUCGUAGGCGGUCUGUCACGUCGGAUGUGAAAACUCGGGGCUACAACCCCGGAGCCUGCAUUCGAUACGGGCAGACUAGAGUUCGGUAGGGGAGACUGGAAUUCCUGGUGUAGCGGUGAAAUGCGCAGAUAUCAGGAGGAACACCAGUGGCGAAGGCAGGCUCGUGGGACGUGACUGACGCUGAGACGACGAAGCGUGGGGAGCAAACAGG